rnacentral:lncRNA from 1 species
GUAGGUAGGGGGUGGGAGGGUGGAGGACCGCAGGCGAGAGGGAGAAGGAAGGGCGCCCGGGGAGCAGGCUGGCAGAGUGACCGGGAUUGAUGAGCGGCGCAGCUCUGGAGGGACGCGGGCGAGAGGGUCGCUCCUCGGGGAGAGGGCUGGUUUUGCCUUUUCCGGAAUGCCAUAUAUAAGGAAUCAUACAGUAUGCAGUCUUUCUUUCAAUUUUGCUGUGAAACUAAAACUGCUAAGAAAAUAAAGUCUUAAAAAGAAAAAUCAAUGGAGAAGGGAAAGAUAGAUGGAAUGUACAGCCAGAGGAUUGGAUGAGGUCAUCGACGGAGAGAAUGCAGAGAGAAUCCUGGGGCUCACCAACAUGAAGAAUUUGGGACAAGAAAGAAGAUCCAGCAGAGAAGACUGAAAGAAGGCAACUAAUGAAAUAGGAGAGAACCUGGAGAGCACAGAGUCUUAGAGGCCAAGAAAGUGGUUUAAUAUAAUCCGUAUCAAAGCAUUUGUGGUUUAUUUUUGUUAACUGACAAAAGGAUUCUAAAACAUACCUGAAAAGUAUAAUUCACACCUAGGAUAAUGGAUCAUUCUGUCACAUUGUUCCUUUUUCACAGCUGAUAUGAACAUGAUAUUUUCAUGACUUUGUAAAAUAAAAAUGGAAUCUUUCUAAUUUUUUUAAAAAAACUGCUUACUUAUGCAAGCCUUCUGUCUCUCACUGUAUAACCCCUCCACUUUUAUACGGGUCACACAUGUUUCUGUCACUUUCCUGGAGCCCUUGUAGCAAAUUAAUAACAUGUAGCACAUGCUUGAAGAAAAAUUUGUCUAGGACAUUUUGUUUUUGAGAUUCAUAAAUUGACUCUAUUUUACAUAAGAAUCUAUUAUGCCAUAGGAAGCUUAUUAAACCCUUGAGCAGGAACAAAUUAUUCAAUAAAUGGUGAUGAGAUGAAUGCCU